CCUACCAGUACGGGGGUGUGGUUGGCUAAUUAGUCCAAGACUUUUUAAGCAGGCACUGGGCAAGAGGCCUUGAAAUGUGGGCCUUGUUUUGAAAGCACAUGGGAUGGUGCUGCUUUGUUUGGCUAUGUGGUGAAUUUGCCCCAGAUGAGGUAGGCCAAGUUUAUUAUUUUUGUUUUGGUUGAAUUGUUUAUUUAAGGGGAUUUAUUUUGAUUGUAUGGGAAAAUUCUGGUUGUUUAUUUAGAUGCAGAUGAAUUGAGUAAUGCUAACUGGGUAUGUUGACUGCUGCCUGUGUAGGUGUUUUUGACACUCUGAUCUGGAUAAAUGUUCAAAAAACCAACUGAUUGUUAUAUCUGCUAUUUGCCAAUGAAGUGUUUUAGAUGUGGAUAAAACCUGGAAUGCUGAUUGGCUGCUUUUUGGGUAGCUGAUAAAGUUAAGUCGAUUGCUGUUUCUCCCGUGUUGUUUUUGUUUAGUUCCCUGGUCGGCCGGUCUCAGAAGUGUGCUGCAUGGUGGCAGCAAGUGUACAUUGUGAACUGUUUGUGUACGAGUCCGGUUGGCUGGGGUUCUGUUAUCUUUUUUUUUCUUUUUGUUUCUUUUUUAUUGAUGACCAUCUUCCCAGCCUUAUGUCAUUAGCUCGACCCGUGCUUGUAUUCUGUGUGUGUAUCCCUUUGGGGUAUGGGAUCCAUGUUUGCUGUGGUUUUCUUUGAAGUUAUGAGUGAAGGGUUAUGUUUUGAGUUGUUUUCUAUUUGAAUUGUGGUGUUUAUUUCCAUUGAUUUUUUUUGGUUCUUUCUUUUUACUGUCAUUAAGAAAUUGAUGUUUCCUAAUACCUUGAAGGUUUUCCACACACAAAAGAACCAGCUACUAUAGAGAGCUUUGAGCUGGUGGUUAACAUCUUUAAGAGCUGAGAUUAAUUUUGUAUUAAUUUAUUUAAAUAAAUCCUUUCAUGUCUGUUUAAUUGUGUAUAUUAUUUUUGCCCUAUCAUUUGUAAUAAACCUUUUUUGUUGUACUUUGAGUAGUCCAAAGGGUUUUGACUUUGUGCCUGUGCAUUAAACAAGGUAUUCUCUUUCAAUUAAUGUUGAAGGGGUGGCGUAGUGCUACAAUUUGGCGUAGUCGGCAGGGUGGAUCAGUAUAGAUGUACUUAUUUCUUUGGUAGGCUGGGAAGUAGGUAGUGUUUUUUGUUUGGUAUUGUUUUUGUAGGGAGAAACAGCGAUUGACUUCGUGGGACCUUGAUAU